rnacentral:rRNA from 1 species
UACGAAGGGUGCAAGCGUUAAUCGGAAUUACUGGGCGUAAAGGGCGCGUAGGCGGUUGCUUAAGUCUGUCGUGAAAUCCCCGGGCUCAACCUGGGAAUGGCGAUGGAUACUGGGCAGCUAGAGUGUGUCAGAGGAUGGUGGAAUUCCCGGUGUAGCGGUGAAAUGCGUAGAGAUCGGGAGGAACAUCAGUGGCGAAGGCGGCCAUCUGGGACAACACUGACGCUGAAGCACGAAAGCGUGGGGAUCAAACAGG